GUUUACUGUCAACAUGUUGCACUGUCAACAUGUUCACUGUCAACAUGUUCACUGUCAACAUGUUCACUAUAAACAUGUUGCACUGUCAACAUGUUGCACUAUAAACAUGUUCACUGUCAACAUGUUGCACUAUAAACAUGUUCACUGUCAACAUGUUCACUGUCAACAUGUUGCACUAUAAACAUGUUGCACUGUCAACAUGUUCACUGUCAACAUGUUCACUAUAAACAUGUUGCACUGUCAACAUGUUGCACUAUAAACAUGUUCACUGUCAACAUGUUGCACUGUCAACAUGUUGCACUGUCAACAUGUUCACUGUCAACAUGUUGCACUGUCAACAUGUUGCACUGUCAACAUGUUGCACUAUAAACAUGUUGCACUUAACAAAUCUACAAUAACCAGGGUGUUGAUGAUGAGUUUGCUGUUGAUCUUCAGAAAAGUAAACGUGGAAAUAGUAAUCCAACAGGUUUAUCUGAAUAUUUAAUCCAUAUAUGAUUUAACAAGGUCUUUACAAUGUUUCUUUUAUUGGUCGAUAAAUCAGAGCAGAUUGUUUUGUUUACAGCUGAAGAGUCUACACGUGUGUUUGAUUCCGGCAUGAAGAAAUAUUCUUUCUGAUUUUCUGUUUGUUUCGAUUUUGAACUUUCAGUCUGAAUAAAUUUCUGUAAAGAAUCAA